UUUGCGAAAAGUUGUAGAUAGUAAGCAACUUAUAUGUGGAGUGGUAUAUGUAUCAUGAAUUUAUUACACCGAAUGGAAAGGAUGUUUUGAGGUGGAAUUUUAUGUAUGAUGAUGAAAGUUUAAAGAUGACAUGAGUUAAAAGUAUUAAUUUGGCUUAGUGUGUAUGACAAGAAAAUAGAAGGUAUCUAUAUUUAUGGAACUCAUGAUAUAUGUCUGGAAGGGAAACCCACUAGUUGAGAAUGAUGGAUGUAAUGACUUUGAAUGAAGACAAAUAGCUUUGAUGAGGAAAUUUCUAGUAGUCACAGCACCGUAGCACUGACUGUCCAGCGCUGUAAUUGUCACGAGCCGGAACUCCCAUCGAGCCCGUGACAACCGCCACGACGUCCCGAUAGGCACUCAUUAUCCCGAAUGUCGAUCGAAACCCCGCAAGGCUUAGCAUCAGCUUUUACAUCUCCCCAGUGAGCGAUAGUUAUUAAAUCUCACAUUUCAAAAAAAAUCAUAAGUCAUUUUCAAAUCAAAACAAUAAAAUAUUACUUUCUGGCUCACAUGGGCAUUUUCAUCAUUUUUCUUCGAAAAUACCAAAACUCGCCAAAAACAUGGUGUAAAAGCUAAAUAUAUUCAUACAUAUUUUAAAUUAAAUAACUGAAGAAUAAAAUUACUUUUACAAUAACACGUGGGCCCCCAACUGACUAAGAAGAUGUAGGGCUACGAACCCUUACUUUCUAAGAUGCAACUCCGAGAUUAAUUUUCGUUUUAAUCAACUAUCAACAAAUUGUCCUGAGCCUGAAAAAUAUAUAGAAAGAAAGGGUGAGAUUAUAAAAUCCCAGUGAGUAGACAAACAUCAUCAAAAUAAUCUAAAACCGAGUAAUAGGAGACAAUUAAAAUAAUUCAUCCCAACCCAUAUAAAUAAUUGGAUUUCAUCCAAUUACUCAACAUGGCUUAUGCACUUUUCAAAAACUUGGCCCUUGCCAAAAAUUCAUUCUCGGGGAUACCCCGCGAAGGCAUAUUAC
rnacentral:lncRNA from 1 species